rnacentral:rRNA from 1 species
GCGUAAGCGCACGCAGGCGGUCUGUCAAGUCGGAUGUGAAAUCCCCGGGCUCAACCUGGGAACUGCAUUCGAAACUGGCAGGCUAGAGUCUUGUAGAGGGGGGUAGAAUUCCAGGUGUAGCGGUGAAAUGCGUAGAGAUCUGGAGGAAUACCGGUGGCGAAGGCGGCCCCCUGGACAAAGACUGACGCUCAGGUGCGAAAGCGUGGGGAGCAAACAGGAUUAGAUACCCUGGUAGUCCACGCCGUAAACGAUGUCGAUUUGGAGGUUGUGCCCUUGAGGCGUGGCUUCCGGAGCUAACGCGUUAAAUCGACCGCCUGGGGAGUACGGCCGCAAGGUUAAAACUCAAAUGAAUUGACGGGGGCCCGCACAAGCGGUGGAGCAUGUGGUUUAAUUCGAUGCAACGCGAAGAACCUUACCUGGUCUUGACAUCCAGAGAACUUUCCAGAGAUGGAUUGGUGCCUUCGGGAACUGUGAGACAGGUGCUGCAUGGCUGUCGUCAGCUCGUGUUGUGAAAUGUUGGGUUAAGUCCCGCAACGAGCGCAACCCUUAUCCUUUGUUGCCAGCGGUUAGGCCGGGAACUCAAAGGAGACUGC